AUGGCGACCGGCGCACGGGUGAGUAACGCGUAUCCAACCUGCCCUUUACUAUGGGACAGCCCGUCGAAAGGCGGAUUAAUACCGUAUGUUGUCAUGUUGAUGCAUAUUUUCAUGACCAAAGGCUUCGGCCGGUAAAGGAUGGGGAUGCGUCUGAUUAGCUUGCUGGCGGGGUAACGGCCCACCGGGGCGACGAUCAGUAGGGGUUCUGAGAGGAAGGUCCCCCACAUUGGAACUGAGACACGGUCCAAACUCCUACGGAAGGCAGCAG
rnacentral:rRNA from 1 species